rnacentral:rRNA from 1 species
GAUGAACGCUGGCGGCGUGCCUAAUACAUGCAAGUCGAGCGAACAGACGAGGAGCUUGCUCCUUCGACGUUAGCGGCGGACGGGUGAGUAACACGUAGGUAACCUACCUAUAAGACUGGGAUAACUUCGGGAAACCGGAGCUAAUACCGGAUAACAUUUCGAACCGCAUGGUUCGAUAGUGAAAGAUGGUCUUGCUAUCACUUAUAGAUGGAUCUGCGCCGUAUUAGCUAGUUGGUAAGGUAACGGCUUACCAAGGCAACGAUACGUAGCCGACCUGAGAGGGUGAUCGGCCACACUGGAACUGAGACACGGUCCAGACUCCUACGGGAGGCAGCAGUAGGGAAUCUUCCGCAAUGGGCGAAAGCCUGACGGAGCAACGCCGCGUGAGUGAUGAAGGUCUUCGGAUCGUAAAACUCUGUUAUUAGGGAAGAACAAACGUGUAAGUAACUGUGCACGUCUUGACGGUACCUAAUCAGAAAGCCACGGCUAACUACGUG